CCAGAGAUGACUGUGACCAGUCCCAGAGCAGUGACUGUCACUGGAAGUGUCCAAGAGGGACGAAGGUUGCUCAUCUGUGGGCCCCUGGGCGGGAACGUCAUGUUGGACAACCAGCCAGCUGCCUCGGGAAGCCGCCUGGAAGGGUGGCAACUGGGCUCCAUGCUCCUGCACUCCAGGCGGGCUUCGGCAGACAUUCGAGGGGAAGCCCUGAGACAGGGUGUCCUCACCAGGUAGGGUAGAAGGAACAGAGGUAGGUAGGAGGGAGACAAGGAAAACUGGAAAUUUAAAAUUGAACUAAAAAAAAAUAGUGCAGCUUCAGGACACAGAGUUACUGAAGCCUUUUUCCCUUCCAGGAAAUGCACUAAAAAAAAAAAAAAACUCCCUGGGGUCUUCAGACACAGCGACCCUGUGACUUGGGCUCUGGGCCGAGCUUUGCACCUGUGAGCGGCGCUUCCUCCUGCAGACUCCGCCCUGCAGGAAGCAGCAGCAGGAGCAGGCAGCGGAUCUCAGCUUCACACAGGGAAACGGUUUGCAGGUUUGCACUGCGACACAGCCACCGGGUGGGUGACUGACGGACAGCAGAACACAGACCCCAGAUCGCCCAUCCCGAAGACACCCAAGCCCCGUAAAUACAUCAGGCUCCGGUCAUAAGGAGCCCCCCUCCCUUGAGGGCCCACACUCUAUUUCUUUGAGCGUGUACUUUACAUUUCUGCCUAAUAAAUCCCUUUAUGCUGCUUACUGAUGCUUCUGAAAAUUCCUUUUUUGCAACAAGUCAGUGAACCUGCAACUUAAUUUUGUGAGUAGAAUGGGUUAAAGAACCCCCAGGACCCUGUCCAGUGACACUCAUCCCACUGCCCAGUGCUCCCAGAUCCCACUCAGUGGGUUCACAGCUGUCAGGACCAGCAGUCUAUCUUGGGGGACCC
rnacentral:lncRNA from 1 species